AUCUUUGCGCUUGGGGCAAUGACGCAGCUAAUGAGGUACUAACCGAGGCGCGUCUAUUGCUGGUUGAAAACUAUUUCCAAACCCCCUCAUUGUUUCUAGGCUUGACCUAGGUCUUUGAGAAUUUCUGGAAGGACUCCCUUCGGGGUAAAGGCCUACAAUCUUCACAGUU
rnacentral:snRNA from 1 species